rnacentral:rRNA from 1 species
UACAUAGGGGGCAGGCGUUAUCCGGAAUUAUUGGGUGUAAAGGGUGCGUAGACGGAGAAACAAGUUGGUUGUGAAAUCCCUCGGCUCAACCGAGGAACUGCAACCAAAACUAUUUCCCUUGAGUGUCGGAGAGGAAAGUGGAAUUCCUAGUGUAGCGGUGAAAUGCGUAGGUAUUAGGAGGAACACCAGUGGCGAAGGCGACUUUCUGGACGAUAACUGACGUUGAGGCACGAAAGUGUGGGGAGCAAACAGG